GAGGUUAUAGUUCAAGAGGUAGAACAACUGUAUGUGGAAUAGUAAGUUCUCUGUUCAAAUCAGAGUAUCCUCC
rfam:Lasallia pustulata genome assembly, contig: scaffold89_size55578